rnacentral:rRNA from 1 species
CCAAUAGCGUAUAUUAAAGUUGUUGCAGUUAAAAAGCUCGUAGUUGAAUUUCGAGAUCAGUACGCUGGUCGUGCCUUCGGUAUGCACUGGUGUCACUGGUUUCUCCCUUCUGAAGAACCGUCAUGCCAUUCAGUUGGUGUGGCGGGGAAUCAGGACUGUUACUUUGAAAAAAUUAGAGUGUUUAAAGCAGGCUCGCGCUUGAAAACAUUAGCAUGGAAUAAUGAAAUAGGACGUUUGACCCUAUUUUGUUGGUUUCUAGGAUCGACGUAAUGAUUAAUAGGGAUAGUUGGGGGCAUUAGUAUUCAAUUGUCAGAGGUGAAAUUCUUGGAUUUAUUGAAGACUAACUACUGCGAAAGCAUUUGCCAAGGAUGUUUUCAUUAAUCAAGAACGAAAGUUAGGGGAUCGAAGACGAUCAGAUACCGUCGUAGUCUUAACCAUAAACUAUGCCGACUAGGGAUCGGAUGAUGUUAAUUUUUUAAUGACUCAUUCGGCGCCUUACG